AGUGAACGCUGGCGGUAGGCCUAACACAUGCAAGUCGAACGGCAGCACAGUAAGAGCUUGCUCUUACGGGUGGCGAGUGGCGGACGGGUGAGGAAUACAUCGGAAUCUACUUUUUCGUGGGGGAUAACGUAGGGAAACUUACGCUAAUACCGCAUACGACCUACGGGUGAAAGCAGGGGAUCUUCGGACCUUGCGCGAUUGAAUGAGCCGAUGUCGGAUUAGCUAGUUGGCGGGGUAAAGGCCCACCAAGGCGACGAUCCGUAGCUGGUCUGAGAGGAUGAUCGGCCACACUGGAACUGAGACACGGUCCAGACUCCUACGGGAGGCAGCAGUGGAGAAUAUUAGACAAUGGGCGCAAGCCUGAUCCAGCCAUACCGCGUGGGUGAAGAAGGCCUUCGGGUUGUAAAGCCCUUUUGUUGGGAAGGAAAAGCAGCAGGUUAAUACCCCGCUGUUCUGACGGUACCCAAAGAAUAAGCACCGGCUAACUUCGUG
rnacentral:rRNA from 1 species